GGUUCCACAGACGUCGGAAACGCUUCGGUCGUCUGAGCAACGUCGAUCUCCUCUUGCAACGGCAUAAGAAUUUUGUCACACUCCACCACGUGGAACUCUAAUUGAUCCACAUCUCAUGUUUUGAUUGUUUCUAUUGAUGAUGAUGUCGUCAAUCUUAGCUGUCAACGCCGUUGUGUGGUUAACGCCGCCAGCCGCCAUCUGAGCCGCCAUUUGAUCUCACAGAGCUUUGAUAGUCGCAUCUAAACCGUCAAAAUCUGCCCUCGUAACUGGUUGAUCAACCAUGGUUGAAUCACGUUAGAAAAAGAACAGGAGAAACUUGCUAUAUCAACUGACACAGUACAGAAACGUAUGCUAGCAAGUGCUAAACCUAUAUUGAAAAGAAGCAAGUUUGCGAGCGACAAACUGAAAAUAGGGUUCCGGAAUCCACCAGAAAUUGAGAAAACUCUUUGAAAAUAAGGUUUGUUUCAAAUUGUUGAUUUUUCUCAUUGUUCGUUGCAAUUUUGUUUGUAUCGUUGCUUUUUCUCAUUGUUGGUUCGAAUUCAGUUUUGAUUAUUGAUAAUUCGUUCGUUUCUUUAUCUUCACUGUUUCUUUGUUUUGAAUUAAUUCUUCACUUUUACUUCCAGAUUAUUCAAAUAUUUUUCUGAAUCUUCAUCACUAAGCUUCCAAGAGCUGCUCCCGUUCAUCUUCAACAACAAAAUCCUAAUAAUGAAUCAACUUUCUUUGUUCA
rnacentral:lncRNA from 1 species